rnacentral:rRNA from 1 species
UACGUAGGGUGCGAGCGUUGUCCGGAAUUAUUGGGCGUAAAGAGCUUGUAGGCGGUUUGUCGCGUCUGCUGUGAAAAUCCGGGGCUCAACCCCGGACUUGCAGUGGGUACGGGCAGACUAGAGUGUGGUAGGGGAGACUGGAAUUCCUGGUGUAGCGGUGAAAUGCGCAGAUAUCAGGAGGAACACCGGUGGCGAAGGCGGAUCUCUGGGCCGUAACUGACGCUGAGGAGCGAAAGCAUGGGGAGCGAACAGG